GCAGCUAUCGACUGGGUGGAGGGCAGUGCCAGCUGCUGGCGUCCCUGAGGCACAGAACCGCUCCCACCACCCCCACCCCUGCUUCCAUUAUAGGAGAACCUUCUACCUGACAUCUAGAGCCUUGGGGAGCUGAAGGGGGGAGGACCCCAAUUCACUUUGAGGUCUCUUUAGGGCAGAGAGGUGAAGGCCAGGGCUAGAAGCACUUAUUUCCUGGGUGAUCUUAGGCAAGUCGCUUCUCUAGGUCUUGGUUUGCUUUGGGGAAUGGAGGUAAUAACAGUACCCGCUAGUGAGCUGUUGUGUGUUUUGGUGCCUGACGUAUCAUAGUUGCUUCCUAAGUAAUAAUUAUUUCUCCUGGGGACAUCUGCUAUUUGUCAGAGUGAGUGGAGUAUAAUCUCUCAUUAAGGAUUUGUUAAGCACCUACUAUGUGCAAAGAAGGCCACAGCAUCUUGGGAGAGGUGGGUUUGAAUCCCAGCCAGCUGAGUGUGCCCUUGAGAAGGUUCUUUCUCUUCUCUGAACCUCAGUCCCCCAGCAGUAAAGCAGGGAAGGUUAUGCCCACUUUGCAGAGCCAGGGCAGGGAUUAAAGAAGAGAUUGCAAGGAGAGCAUGAGAGAGAGGAGAGCAGAGUCUGCUCAGGGCAUUACAGCUGCUUCUCAGUAAGAGCCUGGAGAGUGAAGAGGAUGGAUGGAGAGGACCAACUGUGUCUGCCACAUGGGAGCUCUGGGGAGAUAAGACUUACGCGAAAAAAAUACUACUAACUCAAGGCCAUCGAUGCUCAGUGCCAAAUGCAAGUAACAGGGCUGGCCAGGACUGCCCCUGCUGAACUGCAACCCUCCUCCACACUUGAAGGCAGUAUUUGCUCUGAUCUGUAGGAAUGUGGGGGAGAAGCAGCACCUCUGAGGAGAGCAGCGUUGUUCUGCAGUCCUGUCAACUUUUCCAAGGCUGGCUGGGGUGCCUUGGAAGAAGGCAAGAAGAGUCAAGUAAGGCAGGGACAUGAGCUGUUUCAUGGAACAUGACUGAGUUGGAAGGAGCCUUGCAAUCAGGUGUCCAGCCCUCUUACUACAGAUAAGGAAAUAAAAGCCCAGAGGAGUAAAGGGACUUGACCAAGUUCAAGUGUCUCUCAGGUCAGAGCAGAGGUUCAAUCAUGCAGCAUAUUCCUCUGAUGAAGUUAGUUAGUGACAACAGAAGACCCCAGUAAGCUGGUCAUCGAAGUCAAUCAAACCUCUCAGAGUUCCUUUCAGGAAAGCAAAAGGCAAAAGCAUUUGCUUCACUACCAGAACCUGGUCCAGAACACAGCACCCAGAGGUGCUCAGUAACACUUGGUGAUGGUUUUGCUGAAGUGACCCUGAAAGCGCUGCUCACGCUAGAACAACUCUUUGGGACUCAGCCAAUGAGGCCAUCAAUAUUUGCUGGGCGCCGACUGUAUACUGAGCAAGGAGAUGGCUGGUAGUGUGUCUGUACAGAAUGCAAGGAAGCUCCUGAACCUGUGAUCUCACUGCCCAGCCCUCUUUUCCUCCAUCUUCAGGAGGGUUCCUCAGCUAAAAGCCCAGGCCUGAGUGCAGCCCUAAACCCCUGCUCAGCUCUGCCUCUCUCAGCCCACUGAACCCCAUUCCACCCUUCCACUGGUGGUGUCUGUGCCACCUCACAAUGGCCAUUAGGAGGCAGCCCUGUGUCCCAUGCCUUUUUGGCCGGUUGGAAAGUCCAGAACCUUCCUCCACCCUCACAGGCCUCCUUCCCACCCCUGAAUCUCCACUUUGAAAACUUUCCAUGGACAAGUGAUCUCCAGGCCACAGCUUCACACCCAUCCUUGCUUCCCCUCCCAGUCCAGGCUGCCCCUCCCACAGGCCAAGCCCACCCAUUUCCUCUGCCCUUUUCACCUUCUGGCGCUAGAACCGGCUAUUCUGAGCCUCUGGCCCAGCCCCUCCCUGCUGCCAGCUGCUCCCUACUGGGGCCUCCAUUGCUUGCCUGUUCUCUUUGGAGCUGUUACUCAGCCCUGCCCGCUCAAAAAAAAAAAAAAAAAGAUAUAGGGACACUAUGAUAUAAGACACCAAAGCAGCAAGACUCAAUGUAGACCUGAUGCUUAAGUUACCUAUUUGGAAUAAAUACUGGCCAUUGCAGCAUUGCAUG